UACGGAAGGUGCAAGCGUUAAUCGGAAUUACUGGGCGUAAAGCGUGCGUAGGCGGCCGCGUGUGUCGGAUGUGAAAGCCCCGGGCUCAACCUGGGAAUUGCAUUCGAAACUGCGUGGCUAGAGUGUGGUAGAGGAAGACGGAAUUCCACGUGUAGCGGUGAAAUGCGUAGAUAUGUGGAGGAACACCGAUGGCGAAGGCAGUCUUCUGGGCCAACACUGACGCUGAGGCACGAAAGCGUGGGGAGCAAACAGG
rnacentral:misc_RNA from 1 species